rnacentral:rRNA from 1 species
ACUAAUCCUAGCCCUAGCCCUACACAAAUAUAAUUAUACUAUUAUAUAAAUCAAAACAUUUAUCCUACUAAAAGUAUUGGAGAAAGAAAUUCGUACAUCUAGGAGCUAUAGAACUAGUACCGCAAGGGAAAGAUGAAAGACUAAUUAAAAGUAAAAACAAGCAAAGAUUAAACCUUGUACCUUUUGCAUAAUGAACUAACUAGAAAACUUCUAACUAAAAGAAUUACAGCUAGAAACCCCGAAACCAAACGAGCUACCUAAAAACAAUUUUAUGAAUCAACUCGUCUAUGUGGCAAAAUAGUGAGAAGAUUUUUAGGUAGAGGUGAAAAGCCUAACGAGCUUGGUGAUAGCUGGUUACCCAAAAAAUGAAUUUAAGUUCAAUUUUAAACUUGCUAAAAAAAAUAACAAAAUCAAAAAGUAAGUUUAAAUUAUAGCCAAAAGAGGGACAGCUCUUCUGGAACGGAAAAAACCUUUAAUAGUGAAUAAUUAACAGAACAACUUUUAACCAUUGUAGGCCUAAAAGCAGCCACCAACAAAGAAAGCGUUCAAGCUCAACAUAAAAUUUCAAUUAAUUCCAUAACUUACACCAACUUCCUAAAAUUAAAAUUGGGUUAAUCUAUAACUUUAUAGAUGCAACACUGUUAGUAUGAGUAACAAGAAUUCUAAUUCUCCAGGCAUACACAUAUAACAACUCGGAUAACCAUUGUUAGUUAAUCAGACUAUAGGCAAUAAUUACACUAUAAAUAAUUCACCUAUAACUUCUCUGUUAACCCAACACCGGAAUGCCUAAAGGAAAGAUCUAAAAAGAUAAAAGGAACUCGGCAAACAAGAACCCCGCCUGUUUACCAAAAACAUCACCUCUAGCAUUACAAGUAUUAGAGGCACUGCCUGCCCAGUGACUAAAGUUUAACGGCCGCGGUAUCCUGACCGUGCAAAGGUAGCAUAAUCACUUGUUCCUUAAUUAGGGACUAGCAUGAACGGCUAAACGAGGGUCCAACUGUCUCUUAUCUUUAAUCAGUGAAAUUGACCUUUCAGUGAAGAGGCUGAAAUAUAAUAAUAAGACGAGAAGACCCUAUGGAGCUUAAAUUAUAUGACUUAUCUAUUUAAUUUAUUUAAACCUAAUGGCCCAAAAACUAUAGUAUAAGUAUGAAAUUUCGGUUGGGGUGACCUCGGAGAAUAAAAAAUCCUCCGAAUGAUUAUAACCUAGACUUACAAGUCAAAGUAAAAUCAACAUAUCUUAUUGACCCAAAUACAUUUUGAUCAACGGACCAAGUUACCCUAGGGAUAACAGCGCAAUCCUAUUUAAGAGUUCAUAUCGACAAUUAGGGUUUACGACCUCGAUGUUGGAUCAGGACAUCCCAAUGGUGUAGAAGCUAUUAAUGGUUCGUUUGUUCAACGAUUAAAGUCCUACGUGAUCUGAGUUCAGACCGGAGUAAUCCAGGUCGGUUUCUAUCUAUUUACGAUUUCUCCCAGUACGAAAGGACAAGAGAAAUAGAGCCACCUUACAAAUAAGCGCUCUCAACUUAAUUUAUGAAUAAAAUCUAAAUAAAAUAUAUACGUACACUCUCUAACCUAGAGAAGGUU